UCCUUGGAGGACUAGUGGUUAGGCCACAGCGCUCCCACUGCUGUGGCCCAGGUUCGAUUUCUGGCCAGGGAA
rnacentral:tRNA from 1 species